rnacentral:rRNA from 1 species
AGAGUUUGAUCCUGGCUCAGGACGAACGCUUGCGGCGUGCCUAAUGUAUGCAAGUCGAGCGGGUCAUCAGCCUUCGGGUUGAUGGCUAGCGGCGAACGGUUGAGUAACACGUAGGCAACCUGCCCCGAAGUCGGGGAUAACUCGCCGAAAGGCGGGCUAAUACCGGAUGUGGAACGGAAGCGCCUGUUUCCGUCUCCAAAGCAGCAAUGCGCUUCGGGAUGGGCCUGCGGCCUAUCAGCUGGUUGGUGGGGUAACGGCCUACCAAGGCUCCGACGGGUAGCUGGUCUGAGAGGAUGGCCAGCCACAUUGGGACUGAGAGACGGCCCAGACUCCUACGGGAGGCAGCAGUGGGGAAUCUUGCGCAAUGGUCUAACGACUGACGCAGCGACGCCGCGUGUGGGAGGACGCCUUUCGGGGUGUAAACCACUGUUGCCCGGGACGAACAAGCGCUUUCGAGCGCUCUGACGGUACCGGGUGAGGAAGCACCGGCUAACUCCGUGCCAGCAGCCGCGGUAAUACGGAGGGUGCGAGCGUUGUCCGGAAUCAUUGGGCGUAAAGGGCGCGUAGGUGGCCCGGUCAGUCCGUGGUGAAAGCGCGGGGCUCAACCCUGCGUCGGCCAUGGAUACUGCCGCGGCUCGAGCACUGUAGAGGCAGGCGGAAUUCCGGGUGUAGCGGUGGAAUGCGUAGAGAUCCGGAAGAACACCGGUGGCGAAGGCGGCCUGCUGGGCAGUUUAGCUGACACUGAGGCGCGACAGCGUGGGGAGCAAACAGGAUUAGAUACCCCGGUAGUCC